UUGGGACUUUGCGCGGCAAAGGUCAGGCCCGCCAUCACCCCAGCCCAGGCCUAGUAGCUUCCAGGAGGCGCGUGCGGGACAGAGGCCCUGCCGGGAAGCUGGCCCCCAGCCCCAUGCAGUCCUGCCUGUUGGAGGUGUUAGGCUCAAAAGCUACUACGGGGAGAUUGGGACAGAGUCCCACAGAGUCAGCAUCAGCUUUGGAGGUCAAGGGUGGCGUCAGCCCUUCUUCCCCUGGAUGGACCACUUUUUCCACCUGUGGAGAGGAGUGACACAACUUGCACCUUGGGUGAACAGUCCUUUAGCCUAGAGGACAGACAGCAUUGAGUCUCUCUCUGGUACCUCUUGGAGGCCACAACCCUAGCUUUAGGUCCUCUGGUGGAUGAGCACCAAGUGAGGAGGACUUGCCCUAGCUGUGCUGAGUGGAGGACAGAUGGCUCGUGGUGAUGUGCUGAGUCUAGUUGUCUGUGUGACAUAGUGACAGUCCCUGGGGGGAGGUGGAGGGCUUCCCAGAGAGGUGACCAGAACUAAGCCCUGAGGAUGAGAAGAGUCCUGGAAGCGGGAGUGGCUGUCCUUGUUCAGGAGCCACUGGGAAGCCCAGGAUGGGACAGCAGUGCACCAAGCAAGUGUGGGGCCUUUCUGAGUGUGGCUGUCUGUCGGUUCUGGUUCACAGUGGCUCUUUUUUGUUUUUUUUCCUUUGCUUUUGGUACCAG
ensembl:lncRNA